GCCUGGGUAGCUCAGAGGCUGAGCGUCGGCCUUUGGCUCAGGGCGUGAUCCCAGAGUCGCGGGAUCGAGUCCCACUUCGGGCU
rnacentral:tRNA from 1 species